rnacentral:rRNA from 1 species
UAGGUGGCAAGCGUUGUCCGGUUUUACUGGGUGUAAAGGGCGUGUAGGCGGGAGAGCAAGUCAGGCGUGAAAACUAUGGGCUUAACCCAUAGCCUGCGUUUGAAACUGUUUUUCUUGAGUACUGGAGAGGUUGACGGAAUUCCUUGUGUAGCGGUGAAAUGCGUAGAUAUAAGGAGGAACACCAGUGGCGAAGGCGGUCAACUGGACAGCAACUGACGCUGAGGCGCGAAAGCGUGGGGAGCAAA